rnacentral:rRNA from 1 species
GACGAACGCUGGCGGCGUGCCUAAUACAUGCAAGUUGAGCGAUGAAGAUUGGUGCUUGCACCAAUUUGAAGAGCAGCGAACGGGUGAGUAACGCGUGGGGAAUCUGCCUUUGAGCGGGGGACAACAUUUGGAAACGAAUGCUAAUACCGCAUAACAACUUUAAACAUAAGUUUUAAGUUUGAAAGAUGCAAUUGCAUCACUCAAAGAUGAUCCCGCGUUGUAUUAGCUAGUUGGUGAGGUAAAGGCUCACCAAGGCGAUGACACAUAGCCGACCUGAGAGGGUGAUCGGCCACAUUGGGACUGAGACACGGCCCAAACUCCUACGGGAGGCAGCAGUAGGGAAUCUUCGGCAAUGGACGAAAGUCUGACCGAGCAACGCCGCGUGAGUGAAGAAGGGUUUCGGAUCGUAAAACUCUGUUGGUAGAGAAGAACGUUGGUGAGAGUGGAAAGCUCAUCAAGUGACGGUAACUACCCAGAAAGGGACGGCUAACUACGUG